rnacentral:rRNA from 1 species
AGGGCACCACCAGGAGUGGAGCCUGCGGCUUAAUUUGACUCAACACGGGAAAACUCACCCGGCCCGGACACUGGAAGGAUUGACAGAUUGAGAGCUCUUUCUUGAUUCAGUGGGUGGUGGUGCAUGGCCGUUCUUAGUUGGUGGAGUGAUUUGUCUGGUUAAUUCCGAUAACGAACGAGACUCUAGCCUACUAAAUAGAUCGUCGGCUUACAAACGCCGGCGAGACUUCUUAGAGGGACAGGCGGUGAUUCAACCGCACGAAACAGAGCAAUAACAGGUCUGUGAUGCCCUUAGAUGUCCGGGGCCGCACGCGCGCUACACUGAAGUGAUCAGCGUGCUUUUUCAACCUACUCUGUCAAGAGUGGGGAACCCAAUGAACCUUCUUCGUGAUUGGGAUAGGGGAUUGUAAUUAUUCCCCUUGAACGGGGAAUUCCCAGUAAGCGCGAGUCAUAAGCUCGCGUUGAUUACGUCCCUGCCCUUUGUACACACCGCCCGUCGCUACUACCGAUUGAAUGUUUU